ACGCAAAUGUAAACAGUGUGAAAGACGUACUCAGAGCGUCAGCUGCCUGACUGAGGGUUUUCUCCAGUCGGUGUCGACUUCGUCCCGCUACAGCCCACUGUAAAGUCCCUCCUGGACCCUCUUCAAUGGUCCGUGCGACCUCCUCCACUACGAACUGUCCGGUGAAGCCGCUCGCCCCGAAAACUAUGAGGUGAUACGGUCUCUUGCUGGACGUUUUGAGCGCCGCCAUUGUGUCUUGAGAUCCGCGUGACGUGACGAGGUCGGGACGAUCACUUCUGCUGCACCUCCAGGAUCGGCCAUAAACCGUUUGUGGUGCAAAAUCCAGGAACUGACACACGUUGAAGUAGAGCGACAUCUUGCGCUGGAAAGAAGAUAUUACAGAUAAUGAUGCAAGCAGGUGGAUACUCGGAGAUUGUGACCACAUAUUUUAACAAUGUUACAUAUUUUAUACAUAAAAGUACGGAAGCUAAUAUUUAAAUACACCUGACCAAACAAUAAAGGCCAGUUGAAUGUCAAUUAAUAUAAUGUUAGAUAGCUGCCUUCUAUUAAAUUAAAUCAGUAAAAUGCUGUCAACUUAAAAGUUA
rnacentral:lncRNA from 1 species